AUGCGAAAAAAAUACUGUCACACCGUUUUGUUUAUGACAGUCUGUUUAGUUAUUUUUUUCUCGCUGUUAAUUUACAUAUUUAAGAUAUUAUUUAUUUGUAGAGAUAUUGGUAAUAUGCUGUAAAAGAAAUUCACAACAUGUGCCUACUAAUAAAGCUCAUCAUAGUCUGCGGGCCGGUGGUGUGCGCGGUCGUGAUGCUCGGCGUGUGGGUGCACACGCACGUGGUGCACGGAAUGGUGACCACGAAGGGGUUCUUGGGCAGGGUCGGGGAGAGGUUAUGGGGGCUGUUGCCCGGGUAGACGAGGACGGGCAUCAAGAUCUUUGAUACCGUCGGCGUCGUGGAUUAGCAAUAUAUUUUCGAGAUUUCCAUAAUGUGCAACUGCAUCCUAAUGAUGGUCCCCGUGCUGCUCGGUAUCAGCCUGCUGCUGGUGUGGGCGCUGCAGGCCUUUCUGCGCCCGCCCGCGCCGCCCACCACCACGGUGGCGCCAGAGCGGAAUAUAAUCGCCAAAGUGCUGGACCCGUACAACAUCGUCGGAUAGCCGUGGAUGUGAAUAUAUUUGUAGUAAUUUGGUAGUAAAAGUAUAUUUUUACAUGUAUAGUUUUGAUAGAUUUACUGUUAAGUUAUGUAUAAGUCUGUUAUUAUGAUACACUGUUGUUUUUAUUGUUAAUUUAAUUAAACAAUGUAUAUUUUCUAAAUACA